GCCAAACGAAAAAUUACGUAAUCACCCGAGGAAAACCAGAGGAUCUGGUGAAAAACCUUGGUGAUUACGAGUCCGGAUUCCGAAAACCCAACCCUAGUGUGACCGAAUUAACUAUAAUAUAUACCAUACCUACCAAUACCUACCAAUACCUACCAAAAUCCAGAAAAGUAAAUAUCUUGCAAAAAAAAAUCCAAAUAAAAAAAAUCUCACGAGAUGUCAACAAAAAAAAUUGUAGACCACCCGAAAAAUUCAGUCUACAGAUUGCGCAAGACAAAUAUGCCUCUUUUUAUUAACAAAUUGUUCCAUGUAAGGGUAUAUUUAUCUUAACCUUGAAACUUGAAAAUAUUUCAGAUAUGUUCAGGACAAGGUGCGUGGCAAAUGAAUCCAAUGGCCCAACAUAUUUGACAAUAGUUUGUAAAAGCUAUUAGGACACUUGGGUGCAUUUUAAAGAUGUGAUGUGUGCAUUUCUAUAUUUUAGAUUUUUGCCGCAUUUUGCUUUAUCGCGCGCAAGAAAAUUGCAACGCGCGCACUCAAUUUAAGUUAGCAUGCACUGGUUUUCAUGCCCUUAAUUGUACUAAGCAUGCAUCUGAGCGCGUUUAAUUUUGUUUGCAUGAAACGUUGCGCACUUAAUUCUAAUCAACAUGCACCUUAAUUUAUAUUUCAAGUCAAGACUAUAUAGAGCACAACGUCACUAUUUGCACAUGGAGUACACUCACCGACUGUACUCCGCAUUACAGCAGCACGCGCCGCGCGCGCCGCUUAUGUUAAUUAGCUGCGCACGACCAUGGUGUUUUUUUAUGAUCCAUGGUUCGACCAAGCUUAUGUAUGAAUGUAAGACAACACGGAAUGCAACAUGGCAAACAUUCUAUGUCGCUGACCAUAUAUAAACUUGAUCUGCAGAGUGUUUUCACGGCGGCUAUGUUUGGGAACAAGUUAAAGUGCCGAAAUACAAGUUAACAAGAAAACCAUUAUUUUAAAAUACUUGUCCGUCAACAAAGCAACACGUGAAAACACUAUUUUUCCUGGCGGUCUUUUCGGCUGAAAACUUAUAGUACAAUUUAUAAAGCGCGCGCGCAAUGCAUUAGCAACCUAAAGAAACGAGCCUAUUCUCCACUUUGGAACGAGAACUACGUUUCUUAUCGUUAAGCUCCUAAUCCAAGAUAUCUUGGCAGAAAAUUGUUUCUUUUUUGUUGUGUUUUUUCUGCAACAAGUAUUCUUGGACUAUUGUUGCUUAUAUUCAAAGUGGUUUCGCGGUUUUCUUUUUUAUUUCUCUUUUUCGCAAUAUUUUUUAUUUCUCUUUUUCGCAAUAUUUUCUUUUUUAUUUCUCUUUUUCGCAAUAUUUUCUUUUUUCCACUUUGAAUUGAUUCUGUAAGUAUUUUUCAACAGGAAAACAGUUCCAUUUUCCUGCUGUGUUAAAUACUUCUCAGAAUGUUACUGGCGCAAAAUUAUGAUGAUAAUGAAUUAUAGUAAACAUGCCUUAUAGUAUACAUGCCGCAAAGCGCCCUAUUUCUAUCUGCCUAACCUUCCUAACUAGUGCGCGCGCGCAUAUACCCGUUCAAAAACCUGCAAGGGAAACCCCCAAAUGUGGAAUCUCGGUCAUGCCCCUAGCUUAACUUAACUUAACUUAACUUAACCUAGUGUGUGCCGGUUGCACCUGAUGAGCUUCCACAAACAGGGGUAAGGUUUGCAUGCCUUAUGUUAAUGUCUUCCAUCGUCGAGCCGCCAUAACAGAGAGGGAACCUAAUCUCUGGUAGCGAACUGUUUUCAUAUAACUCGGGCAGAAAACUAACGUUCGAAACCAGCGAUAUACAUGCACUACGGGCGAUGAAACCACGCAAUUAACUUUAUUAUUCAGUAAAGCCUAGACUAUUUAGAUUUACAAUACUUAUGUCGUUACAGUCCUAAGCUGAUCUUUCUGUAGGUGGAAACCGGAGUACCCGGGGAGAAUCCACAUCUUUCAAAAAAUCAUGUCCAGAAAUAUCCACCAAUCUUCUUACGGGUACCAUUUGCACCCUCUAAGCUAUGGAUACCAUUUGCACCCAGUUUAGUUAUCCUACCGAAGGAAAACUAUGCCAGCUUUUCAACAAAAUUUUGGCCACACCCAUAUAUUACGCACACAAAUAUACAGAUCAUGUAAUGGAUUAAGGUCAAGGUUCUAGGGUUAGAUUUAACCCCAAG